AGAAUCAACGCUGGCGGCGUGCCUAACACAUGCAAGUCGCACGAGAAAGGGACUUCGGUCCUGAGUACAGUGGCGCACGGGUGAGUAACACGUGAAUAAUCUACCUCCGAGUGGGGAAUAACUGAGAGAAAUCUUAGCUAAUACCGCAUAACACUUACGAGUCAAAGCAGCAAUGCGCUUGGAGAGGAGUUCGCGGCAGAUUAGUUAGUUGGCGGGGUAAUGGCCCACCAAGACGAUGAUCUGUAUCCGGCCUGAGAGGGCGCACGGACACACUGGAACUGAAACACGGUCCAGACUCCUACGGGAGGCAGCAGUGGGGAAUUUUUGCACAAUGGGGGAAACCCUGACGCAGCAACGCCGCGUGGAGGAUGAAAUCCCUUGGGAUGUAAACUCCUUUCGAUAGGAAGAUAAUGACGGUACCUAUAGAAGAAGCCCCGGCUAACUUCGUGCCAGCAGCCGC
rnacentral:rRNA from 1 species